AGCUUUGCACAGUGGCAGUUUCGUAGCCAAUGAGGUUUAUCUGGGGUGUGAUUAUUGCUAAUCAAAAACUUUUCCCAAUACCCCGCCACAACGACUUGCAAUGUAGUCAGUAUUGGCAAUUUCUGAUGGUCUCUAAGGAC
rnacentral:snRNA from 1 species